UUCAAGAGAGCUCUAGAAACUUCUCCAAACAUAUUCCAACACAUUUCCAAGCCAAAAUAACAGAUCAAAGUGAAGAUCAAAGCAUUUAGGGUUACAAAGUGAGAUUCAAACUUGAUCCUUCUUCUUGUAAAAGCUUUGAAGGGUAAUUUUUAAGGUGAAGUGACUUUGGAAGUUGAAGUGUUCUUGAAUUUUGAGAUUUGCGAGCUUGGAAGGAAAAACGUUAAUUAGUUAAGGAGACGAAAAGUUGUAGCUAUUUUCUCACAUCGAGCCGUGCUAUAAUCGGCCUGGUACAGCACGUAGAUGUGCACACCACUGCAGUGGGUACGUUAUGAUGAUACCCCGGACGCGGGAUGAUGAUGAUAUGUUGAUAACACCGAGCCUAUAUAUCCAGGUAGAUAGGGAGACGGACCAGGCCCCUAGGCUGCUUCAUCAGCGAUUGUACAGGAGCACUCCAUUUGUUUCAGAGCUGCGAUUCAGCUGGUAUUAUUCUUUUGUGUACAUAUAUGGGCAUGGCGGGGUCCUGUUCCGUCUUUAUGAUGUUAUACACUCCAUGUAGAGGCUCACAGACAAAUGUGUGUAGUUAGAUGCUCUAUAACCUCAUCGGUUCAUAUUUUGUAUAUCAUUUUUGGCAGCCUUGUCGGCUUGCGCAUAUGGGCAUAGUUGAUGAUGAUUCUACAGAUGUGCAUUUAUCUUUUGGACUAAAGCCCUUACAGAUUAUGAUAGUUAUGAGUUAUCUUUGUGGUCCACCUAGAUAUGAUUAUGAAAUGUAUGAUAAGAGGUGCUCGGGAGGUCAGCUCCGGGUGCUUGUCAUGGCCCUCUAAUUGGGUCGUGACAUUGAGCUAACCUUUUGCAUAUGUUCAGGGUGUUCAAAAGUUAAUACAUCUACCCUAUAUUUAUACUGUAAUUUUUUUACCGAGGGUGUUCGGGUACCCUCACCUCCAUUUAAAUUCGUCCCUGGUCGGGGUAAUCAAAGAUGAUUUAUAAAUUUCAAUUGUAAAUGCGAUUUAUAAGGCACGAUUGUCAAAUCUAUAUAUAAUAUAAAGUCAGACAUAGACAAGGUGAUGUGACACCUCUUUAUGUCCAUCAAUGGUAUUUAUAUAUUUUUCUCUUUUUUUUUUUUUGAAUUUUUCUUCCUUUUACAAGCUUUAUUAAAAAAUUCAAUGGACACUUCUAAAUAUUAUUAAAUAGUAAUCAAUUUUAUCCUAUUGAUUGAAUCACUAAUUAAAGGCUAUAAUUUCAGGUCCGUUACAGAUCAUUUCACCUCCGCUAUCUUAUCCUUUUCCAAUAUAUUCACAUAGUUUCAUAUACAUGUUCCAUAUCUCCAUUUCUAAGAAGUUAUAAUCGUUGCAAUUAGUUUUGCAUUAUAGAUAUAGUUGUGGC